AUAGCGUAUAUUUAAGUUGUUGCAGUUAAAAAGCUCGUAGUUGGACUUUGGGUGGGAGCCGUGUGGUCGGCGCUUUGCGUCGUACUGCCGGCACCCUCCCUGCUGCCGGGGACAGGCUGCUGACCUUCACUGGUUGGCACCUGGAGUCGGCGAGGUUACUUUGAGUAAAUUAGAGUGUUCAAAGCAGGCCUACGCUCUGAAUACAUUAGCAUGGAAUAACACGAUAGGACUCUGGCCUAUCUAGUUGGUCUGUGGGACCGGAGUAAUGAUUAAGAGGGACAGUCGGGGGCAUUCAUAUUUCAUUGUCAGAGGUGAAAUUCUUGGAUUUAUGAAAGAUGAACUUCUG
rnacentral:rRNA from 1 species